UUCAUCAAAUGAGGAAAUGGAACAUUAUCUUAGGACACCUUCUUACAUAGCCUCAGAGCUGUGGAUGAGAGAUACUUGAAUCUGAUGAUGAA